UGUGACCUCUCUAGAGGCCAUAUUUUUCAAUGGAUCUUCAUGAAAAUAGGUCAGAAUUUUUAUCUUGAUGAUAUCUAGAUCAAAUUCAAAACUGGGUCACAUGAGCUCAAAAACUAGGUCACUAUGUCAAAUAAAAGAAAAAACGACAUCUUACUCAAAACUGGGUCAUGUGGGAACAGGUGAGCGAUUCAGGACCAUCAUGAUCCUCUUGUUAGUUUUAUUAUUUGCAUUUUACUGCUUCAGAAUGGUACCAUAAAAAUACGUAAGCAUGGGUUGUGACAUAACUUCUGAAUGUUCCUUGUGAAUAUUUGCUGUUUUUCUUUUGUUUUGUUUUUUAAUAACAGCAAACAUUAGUGUAAAAUUGCAUCUUGUUAGAGGCUGAUAACAUUAAAAGUACAUAAUAUUAGCUAAUUAUUUUGAAGCCUUAAAAAUGAAAAAAAGAAAAUAAACUUUUUUUUAGAAUUAAAUAAAAGUAUACUUUUUAUGGGUUGUGAUAUGCUUUAGGCAGGGACAUGCAGGUGGUUUGGUGUCAUUUAACAAAUACCAUAUCAUCCUAUGUUUUAUGGUAAUAUACAAGUAGGUUGUGUAAUUUACAUUUUUCUCCUUUACUUCUGAAUGGAGUCGCAUCUUAUCAAGUAGAGAAACGUAUCACAAUACUUCUUUUCUUUCUUGCUUAUAUUUCACAAAAAUCACUAUAGCUCAGGGGCUAACCUAUUUGUAGUAACCUUUACACAUGCAAAAUAGUCACAAAAUGUAUAGCUGUAAGUCAUAGCAUAAUUUCAGGCAUUUAUUAAUGAAGAAGAUCUGUAUAGUGAUUAAAUCGGUCAAUUUUUGUGUUUGUAGUUACAGAAACUUAUUUUACAAAAAUAGAUGGUAGUAAGAGUCAUAAUAGUUAAUUUUCCUGUUCUAUAUAAACAAUUAUUUUUGAGAAAUCUGAUGAUAUAAACCAAUAGAUACAGGAUGAUUUAGUGGAAGGGAAGUAACUCUUCAUUCUGUAUAGCAUUCUUCUGGUAGUUUAAAAAUAUCAUGAAAACUUUUCAUGCAUGUCAAUUAAGAUGAUGCAUUUUUCUAUGUCAAUCAAAAAAGAGUGAAAUCUUAACAUUUCUGCAUUAAUUAGAAAGUUUUUAGUUUUUGUUUAGUCAGAAUCUCUCUGUAACAGACAGCUGUCAAGAUCAUAUGGUGCAUGUUUGGCUUUAAAUGCUUCGUUACAUCAUUAAAUUGAUUUCUUUGAAACACAGAAGUGAUACAGUCAUGUUGUUUAAUGUCUCCAGUACAAAAUUUGAUCUGCACAUAGAUGACUUUUUUUUUUUUUGUUUUAUUUCACCUCUAUAAUGCUAUUUUGAAAAAACUCACAAAGUAACAACCGUGAUAAGACAAUUAAGAUGUGCACAAAAAUUAAUUGAGCCGUGCCAUGGGAAAACCAACAUAGUGGGUUUGCGACCAGCAUGGAUCCAGACCAGCCUGCGCAUCCGCGCAGUCUGGUCAGGAUCCAUGCUGUUCGCUAACAGUUUUCCAGUUCCAAAAGGCUUUAAAAGCGAACAGCAUGGAUCCUGACCAGACUGCGCGGAUGCGCAGGCUGGUCUGGAUCCAUGCUGGUCGCAAACCCACUAUGUUGGUUUUCUCAUGGCGCGGCUCAAUUGUAGCCUAUGUUUUACAUAUUUCCAUUUAUAAGUCAAGAGUAGAACAGGGUUAGUUGUGUAAGCCAGUUGUUUUGUUAGUAUAAAUGCUAAACGUAUGUCAUUUCCUUUGUUAAAUGAUGUAAAAAAAAUAUUAAUGAACAAAAUGUUAAAAAAAAAUAAAAAAUUAUAAUGCAAUUUUUAUGUUGAAGCAAAAAUACUUUGUGACAUUUAUGUUUAAUUAUAUUGAGAUGAAUUGAGUGGGUUUUUCAGAGUCAAAUGGUUCAAGUUGCUGACUUAAAAAUCACUUGGGUGUCACCUCAACUUCUUGGUGUAUAGAUUUCUAAGAGGGUGAUCAAGUUUCAUUAUUGAAGGUCGAAGGUUCUGCCCAUUACUUGGCUAUGCCAGAAAGAAUGCACGAUUUGGCACCUUCGGUCUUCCUCCAAUUUAUAAUGGAACGCGACUUUUAUUAUAUGACAGUGGGAUUUAAAACCAAACAAAAAUUAAUUUGAAAUUAUUAAAGUACUCUCUAGUACACCGGACAGGAAAAAACAGUUACUCCAAGGAUAUAAUUAUGACAAACCUGUACUAUAAAGUUUUUACUAGAAAACCGAUUUUUUUUUGUUUUGCAGCACCCUGUGAUUUGUUAGCGUGAUGUUAUGAUGUACUCAGUCAGAAUCAUGAAAAAAAUAAAGCAUGAUUGUUAUAUGAA